GGAGCAGGGUAGUGUGUAUAACUAGGGAGCAGGGUAGUGUAUAUAUCUAAGGAGCAGGGUAGUGUAUAUAUCUAGGGAGCAGGGUAGUGUCUAUAACUAGGGAGCAGGGUAGUGUGUAUAACUAGGGUAGUGUAUAUAUCUAGGGAGCAGGGUAGUGUGUAUAACUAGGGUAGUGUAUAUAUCUAGGGAGCAGGGUAGUGUAUAUCUAAGGAGCAGGGUAGUGUAUAUAACUAGGGAGCAGGGUAGUGUCUAUAACUAG
rnacentral:lncRNA from 1 species